CUGGGAUUACAGGCAUGCACCACCACGUUUGCUUGUGUCCAUCAUGCCUUUGUGAGAAAAGAAAAUUUCAGUCACUUGACCUCUUCUCAUAAACUGGACAUCCUUCCAGGCUUUCGUCUCUCUGUCUCGCUUCCCCACUCCCUUCCAGUUCUUCCUGGGAUCACCUCCUAAGUGUGCCGUGUGCCCUCACGUCUUGGUUUGGGGUCUGCUUCUGCAGAAACACAAUCUAAAUCAAGUGACAUCAAUAAUAGGAGAAAACACAAAAA